GACGAACGCUGGCGGCGUGCUUAACACAUGCAAGUCGAACGGUAAGGCCCUUCGGGGUACACGAGUGGCGAACGGGUGAGUAACACGUGGGUAAUCUGCCCUGCACAUCGGGAUAAGCCUGGGAAACUGGGUCUAAUACCGAAUAGGACCACAGGACACAUGUCCUGUGGUGGAAAGCUUUUGCGGUGUGGGAUGGGCCCGCGGCCUAUCAGCUUGUUGGUGGGGUGAUGGCCUACCAAGGCGACGACGGGUAGCCGGCCUGAGAGGGUGUCCGGCCACACUGGGACUGAGAUACGGCCCAGACUCCUACGGGAGGCAGCAGUGGGGAAUAAUGCACAAUGGGCGAAAGCCUGAUGCAGCGACGCCGCGUGGGGGAUGACGGCCUUCGGGUUGUAAACCUCUUUCACCAUCGACGAAGGUCCGGGUUUUCUCGGGCUGACGGUAGGUGGAGAAGAAGCACCGGCCAACUACGUG
rnacentral:rRNA from 1 species